UGUUUACUCACGUCAAGGUGUUGUAAGACGGAGGUUAGAGAUACUUAGUUAGUUACAGCUUAGAGAUUGUUGUUCAGUUAUUCUGCAGAUAUAUAUAUACGGGCCGGCGGUCGGCUUAUCGGGCAUGCGGGGCAAGGGUACGCCAGGGAGGUUGCGGCGGGAAGACGCUGACAACUGAUCAAUUUGUUAGAUUUACUCCAAGGUGUGGGCAGAGUUGUUUUUGACUUUGCGAAAAAUGUUGGCUGAUGUUGUACGGCGUGCUUUAAACUAGCUUUGCUGAGGGAUGGGGCCACAGGAGGACAUGAGGACACCUCCCAGCCAAGACCAGUGAUGAGCACAAGAGUACUGUGGCACUGGGCAGCAGAUAAAAUUCUCCUAUAAAGUAUCAAGAAGAAAUCUACUAUAAGCAUGAUGUGCACCUUAUAUAAAAUAGUUGUGUUUUCCCCUGGCCUGGAUUGAUGCUCAUGGGCUUCUUUUGAUCUAUCUUAGUGUGAUAUCUUGAUAUAAGUGUGAAUAAUAAAUUGAGUUUGUGUA